AUAUUAGGGCUGAGUUUUUCUUGAGUGUGCUAGGCUUGAUAAUAUAUUGGUUUACAUUUGGCUAUGUUGAGAAGAUUCAUUGUGCAAUAGAAUGUCAACUCGUUUGCUCAUUUUCCAUGUUUUGUGUUCAUUAUUUCUUGUAUGUGCACCCUGGUUGUUCUGGUCCAUGGACAAUAGUUAAUUGAUUUUGUGGAAGUUUUAAAUUUAACUGUGCUUUACAGCCCCUUUGGAUUCAAUGAGUUGGUAAGAAAAGAAAGAAAGUAGUAGUGUUUCUCACCCAAAUCACUAAUUUGCAACGAGUGAUUGGUGAGAAAUAUACAAAAAUGAUAUUUUGUGAUUGGGUUCUUGGGAUCUUGAUCUUCACUCCACCUUGAUAUCAAGCAGACCAAUGGGAGAAGAGUCCAUUGCAUGAGGAUGAUGGAAUGGUGGACGAACUAGUUAACUUCCUAUGGUAAAGUAGGAUAGCCAAAUGAGAGUGUUUUAUUAAUCUCUAGUGCAUGAGACUGGCUUAGAUCUGUACUGUAGUAAAUGUUUUCUUUUUCAUUUUCGGGUUUUCUAGAGCUCCUGUAGAUAUGAUCUGUUUAAUUUUAAGAAUUUUAGGUGUGCUUUGAAGACCCUCUACGUAGAUUUUAUCCAUUCUCAUUCACAAUAAGAUCAUAUGCUUCC